rnacentral:rRNA from 1 species
UACGUAGGGGGCAAGCGUUGUCCGGAAUCAUUGGGCGUAAAGGGCGCGUAGGCGGAUCAUUAAGUCUGAUGUGAAAACUUGGGGCUCAACCCCAAGCCUGCAUCGGAAACUGGUGAUCUUGAGGACAGGAGAGGAAAGUGGAAUUCCACGUGUAGCGGUGAAAUGCGUAGAGAUGUGGAGGAACACCAGUGGCGAAGGCGACUUUCUGGACUGUAACUGACGCUGAGGCGCGAAAGCGUGGGGAGCAAAC